rnacentral:rRNA from 1 species
CUGAGAGGGUGAUCGGCCACAUUGGGACUGAGACACGGUCCAAACUCCUACGGGAGGCAGCAGUGGGGAAUAUUGCACAAUGGGGGAAACCCUGAUGCAGCGACGCCGCGUGAAGGAAGAAGUUUUUCCGGUAUGUAAACUUCUUCAGCAGGGAAGAAAUGACGUACCUGACUAAGAAGCCCCGGCUACCUACGUGCCAGCAGCCGC